GACGGACGCUGGCGGCAUGCCUAACACAUGCAAGUCGAACGAAGGCUUCGGCCUUAGUGGCGCACGGGUGCGUAACGCGUGGGAAUCUGCCCUUGGGUUCGGAAUAACUCCCCGAAAGGGGUGCUAAUACCGGAUGAUGUCGCAAGACCAAAGAUUUAUCGCCCAAGGAGGAGCACGCGUAGGUUUAGCUAGUUGGCUAGGUAAAGGCCCACCAAGGCGACGAACCUUAGCUGGUCUGAGAGGAUGGUCAGCCCCACUGGGACUGAGACACGGCCCAAGCUCCUGCGGGAGGCAGCAGUGGGGAAUAAUGGACAAUGGGCGAAAGCCUGAUCCAGCAAUGCCGCGUGAGUGAUGAAGGCCCUAGGGUUGAAAAGCUCUUUUACCCGCGAUGAUAAUGACAGUACCGGAAGAAUAAGCCCCGGCUAACUCCGUGCCAGCAGCCGCAGUAAUAC
rnacentral:rRNA from 1 species